rnacentral:rRNA from 1 species
GUCUGGUGCCAGCAGCCGCGGUAAUACGGAAGAUGCAAGCGUUAUUCGGAAUUAUUGGGCGUAAAGCGUCUGUAGGUGGCUUUUUAAGUCUAUUGUUAAAUGUCAAGGCUUAACCUUGAAAAAGCGGUAUGAAACUAAAAAGCUUGAGUUUAGUAGAGGUAAAGGGAAUUCUCGGUGUAGUGGUGAAAUGCGUAGAUAUCGGGAAGAACACCUGUAGCGAAAGCGCUUUACUGGGCUAAAACUGACACUGAGAGACGAAAGCUAGGGGAGCGAAUAGGAUUAGAUACCCUAGUAGUCCUAGCUGUAAACGAUGGAUACUAAGUGUUGGACUACAAAAAGUUCAGUGCUGCAGCUAACGCGUUAAGUAUCCCGCCUGGGAAGUAUGCUCGCAAGAGUAAAACUCAAAGGAAUUGACGGGGGCCCGCACAAGCGGUGGAGCAUGUGGUUUAAUUCGAUGCAACGCGAAAAACCUUACCAGGGUUUGACAUUCCAUAAAUCUAUUUAGAAAUAUAUAGAAUUAAAUAUGGUAACAGGUGGUGCAUGGCCGUUCUUA